rnacentral:rRNA from 1 species
UACGAAGGGGGCUAGCGUUGCUCGGAAUUACUGGGCGUAAAGCGCACGUAGGCGGAUUGUUAAGUCGGGGGUGAAACCCUGGAGCUCAACUCCAGAACUGCCUUCGAUACUGGCGAUCUCGAGUUCGGGAGAGGUGAGUGGAACUGCGAGUGUAGAGGUGAAAUUCGUAGAUAUUCGCAAGAACACCAGUGGCGAAGGCGGCUCACUGGCCCGAUACUGACGCUGAGGUGCGAAAGCGUGGGGAGCAAACAGG